rnacentral:lncRNA from 1 species
CGGCCAAUAUAACAUAGACAUCAUGUGAUGGAGAUUAUUAAAUAUUUCUAUAGGAUAAUACAUAAGUAAGGAUUUGUUUUACCUGCAGUUUGUGAAGGGGGUGCAGGAGGUGGGUUCUCCAUUCCUUUUAUAUUUCGAUCCUUAGAAUCAAACCGAUUACCAGUUAGAGAGAUGGACUACGAUUUGUAUUUUCUUGGCUGCUUAAAAAAUUCUUACACUUACGCAGUUGGUUGGAGUUUAGCGUUGAUUAAAGUUUGGUAGACACUUCCAAUGGAGAUUUCAGUAUCGUUUCUGAAAAUGGGAAAUAGAAAGCUGGGUUCCCAUUUUGUAGAAUUUUUAAGAAUGAUUAAAUAUGUAAGGAAGUAUUCGGAAGGAAAUCAGUGCCUAAGAUAUUCAAAUAUUUUCUUACGUUAUUGGAAGGAAAUAUCAUUUACUUGAUUGAUUUUCCCUUGAUAUAUCGGUCCUAAAUUUUUGCCGUUGAACACGUUCAUGAAAUCUGGAGUAAUUAUGUUG